GCUGGAUUAAUGAAGAGCUUUGAAUAGGAGAGAUAGGGUUGAUGUAACAAUAGGAAUGUCCAUCUUAGCGACCUCGUCAUCUACCUUCCAUCAAUUACGAAAAUGAUCAAGCAAUAUCUCUUGAAUGAUCGAGGGAUCGAUAAUAGUUUCUCCUUGAGGGGAAUAUAAAACAUGCAUCUGAUUUUUCCUUCUACGAAGAAUGG
rnacentral:lncRNA from 1 species